rnacentral:lncRNA from 1 species
UCAGAUUUACUGGAAAAAGUGUCGUAAUCUUGUAACAAAGCAAUGCCAUAUGUAUGCACUCUCAAGCAAAAAAUAUACUGUUGUUUAUUUUAAGCAUCAGCCAUUACGCUUGCUAAAACAAUAAAUCAAGUACUACCAUCGAGAUAUUGUACAACAAGUCAGAAACAUGUUGAUCUCCAAAAAGGUUCCAUUCCAGUGUAGAAGCAUCUGUCGUAGAACAAAUGGAAAACUACAUCUGCACCUUCCAGCAAUGACUACGAAAGCAAGAGCUACAAAAGAAAGGUAUAGAGUUCCAGUUCUCAGUGGAGUCCAGUAUUGUUGCUACCAUUCCAAAGUAGAAGCAUCUGCCGUAGAACAAAGCGGAGACAUGUAAUUCAGAAAAACUACAUCAGCCCCUUCUAGGGAAGACAACAAAAGGAAGAGCUGCAUAAGAAAGGUAUAGAGUUCCAGUUCUAUGGAGUACAAUACUGUUGCUAUCAUAGGCUUCCCGCUCCGCACCAAGCAUAAGCAGCUCCAAAAAGGUUCCAUUCCAGACGGGGCUCAGCAUCAUUCUGUAAGGUAUUUCUCCAUCAGUGAUGCAUCCUGUAGUUUAAAAUAAACUCAGGUGAAUCUACGACAAUAUUAAAACUGCCUCAUUAUUUCAUAUCCAAGGCAGAAGAACUGGCAGGCUCAAACUAUAUUCUCUAUAGUUAUAAUAUAGGUUAUCAAACGGCGAGAAAUAGGCAGGCUAACUAAUAACUUUGGGAACCAGACAUAAAAGACGAUUGCUACAAAAAUACAGGCCAUAGGAUUAAAAAGAACUGGCAGGCUCAAACUAUAUUAUGUUUAGUACCCCAGCUCCCAUUCCAGCAGUAGAGUUUCUUAACUGCAAGUUCUGUUCUAGUCAGAAAUGAAUAUUUGUUUUGUCUGUACAAACUGAAGGGAUGCAUAUAUAGAUGGACAGCAUAAAAAGCAGCACCACUUGUUCCUGGUCACUCGAGCCUGGACAUCCUUAUCAUCCUUUUCUUCAACAGGAGGCGAAGAAGCAUCAGCUUGACCACCAGAGCUCGCCUGGUGCGUCAAAGAAAACCAGUGAAGAGGGAGACAUGUGUAAAUAUGUGGGCAUAUAGCAUAGCCGGCAGGGCACGGCGAUUUGGUACAAAAGGAAACACAAACAUGAGUGUAAUUAAGUAGUUAUAAGCAUAUUAUAGUUGUCUAUUUCAGAAGACAUACCUUGGGGUUGUAGCUUGAAGGAGACCAGUACUGAGCUUCGAAGUAAGGUAGUUAGAAAGAAUCUAAAUAAUAUGCUGGCCUGCAGACUUAGUAAAUAGCAUAGUAGGAAUCAAAGAAACCGCAAUGUUCUUGAACAGAAAGAUCUCCUAUAGGCCAUCAUACAUUCAUAGUUAUUGUCAUGAACGAAAAGUCCAUAUAAACCUUGCAAAAUACGCAAGACCUGUAGAGCAUCCUGCUCAUAGCCAUUCAUAAAACCACACCAAGCCAAGCUCGGAAAACAUCUCUUUGUGGCACUGGAGUAGAACCGUCCCCUGGGAGCUCGAGUUCUACACCAGCAAGAACAGAACCGUCGUCUACAACCUCACACAGACACGAAAGCGACGACAAAGCACACCGAGCUACCUUAGUCUCCAAAACAAGUAUAACAACGGAAACAAGUGCAUAGAUCCUGCUCACACGCAUACACGAACUAUAAGUAGCAAGAGAACGAACAACACACAAUGCCCUGCCGUAUCCGAAAUAUUUAAACGAUCAGCAUGGCAGACACCAUAAUAAUACUUAAACGAUCAUGAAGGCAGAUAGCAUGAUAUAGAAGAUAGUGAAAGUAAAACACACACACAUGUAAAAAGGAGAACAACAAACCUUGGCGAGUCGAACGGAGACGUAGCGGCAGAAGAGAUCGCACAUCCUACAAAACGCACAGAAAACAACCGAUAAGAACACAACGAUACACAUGCAAGCAAUAAACAUGCAUGAGACCAUAUAUGCAUUUUGUUAUGGAAUGGUCUGAAUCAUAAAUACCCUACCAGGAAAGAAACUCACACAAUCAGGAUUAUACACCAAGCGGAAGGACUAAAGGAAAAAAUGAAGUCCAUAAAAAUAUUAACACAUAAAUGUCAAUCAGUACUAAGAAAAGGGGUCGGCAAUAGAUGUACAGCCGAACUGAACUGAAUUUUGGGGCUAAAUGGCGCGAACACAUCUAUUUAACUAUUGCAGCACUUUGAGUUGAAAACGAAAGGGUGGCUCAUUAACUAAUUAAUGUAGGAAACUACUAUCACAAUAUAUCAAUCACCAUCACCAGGCUCCAUAUGUAUUAUUGGUUGGACUAUACAAAAUGUGAAAUAUGGUCUUGUCUUUUGUGAUUCAACAACUGGGAUUCUAGCCAUUGUGUGGGAAGAAUGAUACAAUUUUGGAGCAUACAGGGCGUCAACAUCUCAUUCAUGCGAUCUCAUAAGUAUUCUCAUGUAGGCUCAUCUAACAAGAAAAUAGAUGUAAACUUCUUUAAGGCACAAAUAUACCUAAACAAAGAAAUCUCAUACAUAUAUCCAUGUAAGAAAAAAAAAGUAGCAGCACCAGAUAUAGAAGGGUACAUGGAGACAGGUUGAUAUGUAAGGUCAGAAUUGGAGAGAUGGAUGAAUCAUAAAAUAUGUAUCUUACCAGCUAAAUAUUCCACGGCCGACCCCGCCUCCUUGUUCCUGCUGCUCCGGCAGGCGAGCCUCCCUCCACGACCGACCCCCUCCCCCAACCCC